GAUGUCGGCUCGUCACAUCCUGGGGCUGGAGAAGGUCCCAAGGGUUCGGCUGUUCGCCGAUUAAAGUGGCACGCGAGCUGGGUUCAGAACGUCGUGAGACAGUUCGGUCCCUAUCUGUUGUGGGCGUUGGAGAUUUGAAAGAACCUGACACUAGUACGAGAGGACCGUGUUGGACAGACCUCUAGUGUACCUGUUGUGGCGCCAGCUGCAGUGCAGGGUAGCUAUGUCUGGAAGAGAUAAGCACUGAAAGCAUCUAAGUGCGAAGCUCGUCUUAAGAUGAGAUCUCCCUUAAGGGUCGUUGAAGACGACAACGUUGAUAGGCUGCAGGUGUAAAGACGGUGACGUCAAAGCUGAGCAGUACUAAUUACCCGUGAGCUUUCA
rnacentral:rRNA from 1 species